rnacentral:rRNA from 1 species
AUUGAACGCUGGCGGCAGGCCUAACACAUGCAAGUCGAACGGUAACAGGAAGCAGCUUGCUGCUUCGCUGACGAGUGGCGGACGGGUGAGAAAUGUCUGGGAAACUGCCUGAUGGAGGGGGAUAACUACUGGAAACGGUAGCUAAUACCGCAUAACGUCGCAAGACCAAAGAGGGGGACCUUAGGGCCUCUUGCCAUCGGAUGUGCCCAGAUGGGAUUAGCUAGUAGGUGGGGUAACGGCUCACCUAGGCGACGAUCCCUAGCUGGUCUGAGAGGAUGACCAGCCACACUGGAACUGAGACACGGUCCAGACUCCUACGGGAGGCAGCAGUGGGGAAUAUUGCACAAUGGGCGCAAGCCUGAUGCAGCCAUGCCGCGUGUAUGAAGAAGGCCUUCGGGUUGUAAAGUACUUUCAGCGGGGAGGAAGAGAGUAAAGUUAAUACCUUUGCGCAUUGACGGUACCCGCAGAAGAAGCACCGGCUAACUCCGUG